rnacentral:lncRNA from 1 species
ACUCUACCACUGAGCGAGCUACACCUGCACCUCUGUUAUUAAUGGGUUUUAUUUUUAUGAGAACCCACAAAAAAAAAAAAAAAGCUGGGCAUGGUGGUUUAUACUUUUAACUCUGGCUAGGAGACAGGUGGAUCCCUGGGGCUCCUCUGCCAGCCAGCCUAGCCUAUGUGCUGAGCUACAAGCUGAUGAGAGAUCCUGUCUCAAAAAACCAAGGAGCAACAUCAGAGUUGUUCUCUGGCUUCCCCAUGCACAUGUGCACGCAAGCUCGCAGGCCCAUGUACAUGUGCACCAAUUAAAGUAAACAGAAAGGAAGAAUGUAUACUGGCUGUAUAGCACAGAGAUAGUAAGAGGAACGCAAAAGAAGGUGAUUUUCUAAACCACUUUUUUUUUCUCAUAACAGUUAGAUUUCCCCUUAGGCGGUUGGUAGGUAAAGCCAGCUUCCCACACAGCGUGAACUCCAAUCAACAACGUCUACAGUGAGACUUGCCCAUCAGUUCUGGUUCACUGUUAAUCACACCAGCGUCCACUUUAUUGCCAGAUAUAUUUAAAGUGGGAGCUGAUGAUUAAAUGCAGACGUCCUAGUGUUUUUUAGAUGUAUUUGUAUGAAUGUUUUCCCUGUGUGCAUGGUACCUGCAGUGGUUGAAAGGCGUCGGAUCCCCUAGAACUGGAGUUGCAAAUGUCUGUCCAUCAAUCUCCAUGUGGGUGCUGGGAACACAUCUGCAAGAGCAGCUAGUGCACCCAACGGCAGAGCCCGUCUCCCUAGCCCCUAGACGCAGAUAUUUUUAUAAGUAGCUUCUCAGGAAAGUCAGAUGUUGUGAGCAUCAUGAGCGUGAUCUAGGCUUCUAGCAGAACCUGUGGGCAUGUUGUGGGGAGCUCUAAACAUUGCGCAGAUGUGAUUGGUUGCCUACUUUCUCAUUAAGCUCUCCAUGGCGUGAUCUGGCUGGUUUUCACAGGGUCUCCUAGCCCAAGGUGCUCUCACUCUCAUUCUGUAGCAGAGGAUGGCCCAGAAUUUCCGAUCGCCUGCUUCUGCCUUCCAAGUGCUGGGCCACCACACGUGGUUUAGCUCUCACUUCUUAGAGCAGAGGCGACUGUAGGGAAACGAGAGGGGCUUUGGAAAUCACUUUGCAGGAAGGAACUCAGAAGGUGAGGCUCAGAGAUAGAGGAAUGAUGGAGCAUUGGGAAAUGCCAGCCCUAGCUUUCCAAUGUAUGCCAGAACUUGAGUUCCGUACAUUACAAACAUCCAGAGUGAGUACUGCUCAUGACUGGCCUGGGGUAGCCAAUCCUUUCACCCAUCGCUUUCACAGGAAGUGUUUCACAGGAAGUAAGUGUUUCACAGGAAGUGUUUCACAGGAAGUGUUGCCAGUACUUCAGCCUCUACGCAACUGGUCAGGAUGCAGCUCCAGAACACAGCUGUGCUUGUAAGUGUUCACUGAAUUCACCUUCCGGGCAUUGGGUCAAAACUGUGAAGCGGGGCUAGGGGGAUGGCUCAGCACUUAAGAACACUUGCUGCUCUUGAGCUAAGUUUCAAGUACCCACAUGGGGUGAGUCAUGACUAGCUCCUGGGGAUCCGACACCCUCUUCUAGUCUCCAAGGGCACUCGUACAUACAUGGCAUACACUUACACACACACACACACACACACGCAAAUCCCUAAAAGAAUGUCAAGCUUGGCCUGAGAAUGCAGCUCAGUUGUUAGAGUCCUUGCCUAGUGAGCCAAAGUUUGGUCCCCAGCAUUGCAUAAACCACUGUGAUGAUACACGUCCCACUUCCAGCACUCGGGGGUAGAAGUAGAGGAUCAGAAAUUCAAAGUUAUCCUUAGCUACAACGUGAGUUUGAGGCCAGCCUUCCAUAUAUGAGACCCUGCUUCAAAAAGAAAACAGAAUGUCAUGCAAGCCAUGUGUGCUGCUCCGUGACUGUCACCCCAGCAUUUACCUUGUGAGCGUUUCUAAUUAUAAUAGGAUCGUGAAAUCAGCAGAGAAGUACUGAAAGAUGUCCGGAAAUUAACUCUGACUAUAAGUGUAAGAUGACUUGGAUCUGUGUUGUACAAAGAAAGCCAAGGAUUAUUCUCAGCUACAGUACAAACCAGCUUAUUGAAAGGUAGCUUAUAGCCAGUGGGUUCUACUGAAACAUAGAUAGAUACCCUGGAACUUCACAGAGGUGAGGCCAGGGGGGAGGAGGUCACUUUAUGACCAACUGAUUAAUUAUUGAAAGCUUAGUCAUCACUUUUUAAAUAUUCGAUCAUUUUUAAUCACAUGUCUCUGUGUGAGGUGUGCACGUGAGUAUAGGUGUUUGUAGAGACCUGAGGUGUCAGAUUCCCCCAGAGACGGAGUUGCUAGACAUGGGUGUUGGGAACUGAACUCAUGUCCUCUAUAAGAGUAGUGUGAGAUCUUACCUGAUGAGCCAUUUCUCCACCCCAUCAUCAUUAACCCUUAAGAGCUUUCUGUCCUGGACACCCAUAUUAAAGUGAACUGCUCGGGAAUGAGGUUGGUUUCCUAUUAAAAUGUUGAAAUCUGCUUAGCUAUGUUUCCCAAAGUAUUUUUCUUUAAGAGAAAUUUCCAUCUGUAAAGGUCUAUGAUGAGGCCAUAUAUAGGAUGCAUUUUAUUUGGGUGCAGUAGUGGAGAGUCAAACGAAAGGGAGGGACUCAAAGUCACACUGGACAGCCGUAUACACAGGGACAGAUGACACACUCCUGGGGACCCAUACCAGAGUGUCGGGCAAAAACACGGCAUGCAAUAUUAGCACAGUGAGGUUUUUUAAUUAGUUAGGGCUUGAAGCUGUGCUAGGAUGUCCAACCUGUGCCUCUUAAAACAAACAAACAAACAAACAAACACCUCUGUACAAAGUAGCCACCUACUUGUGUAGCACUUUGUAAUAAUACAGAAAAUCUGGCCCUCCCGAACAGUAAUUUAUGUGAUGCUGCCCCCUGCUGGAGGAUACAGAGUCUGGCUUGGUUAGGCGCCUUCCAAGGAGGCCCCACUAAGACAGAAAGAGAAAGGGUAUGUUUUCUCUGUGACUUGGCAGACGAAGGCACUAUACAGUGAUGGAGGCUCAUGUCUCCAGGAUGUGCCCAGCACAGUGGCCUGGUACUCAUCUGUCAGCACUGAUGCACUUGCCUCCUCGGGUCUCUUGGGUCUCUUCCUCUCCCAGUUAAGCACCCAAGGAUGCUGGGAUGCAGCAGUCUCAUUUACACUACAAAAAGACGUGCUUCUAAAGACAGGAUUAACAACAGAGGCCAAACAGAUUUUUCUCUUCUGGCCUCUCCUAUGUAAGGCAGUUAAGCAGAUCUCAUUUGGUUUUGAGCAAAGACUUUCCCCCAGGUCUUUUUUUUUUUUUUUUUUUUUAAUCAACCCUAUUGUCCCUGCUUUAUAAUUUCCCUCCCAUUUGAAGCCGUGAUAUUGCUGUCUACACCACUUGCUCAGAGCGAGCUGUAUGCAUAUCUCAAAUCGUCUUCCUCCCCCGGCCAACAGUAUUCCCCUCUCUGAGCUGGCAGCAAACAUCUGCUUCGUGUUGCCACGUGUACACACAGAAACAACAAUGCCAUCGAUGUAGCAAUGCCAAACCACUCUGCCCCGGGUGCUACAAAACCAAAGGCAGAGAGAGGCACACACCUCCGGAAGCACACUGAGAGAUAUUUGCAGUUUUGUCGCCUGCCUGGGACUCAGACCCCACCCUGGGACUCCUGGGCCCUUGGUUAUAGAUGCACAAGGAAGGGGGGAAUCUUAGCUUUGCUGUGUUUAGAGAGAAUCAAAGCCAAGAUGCUGGGCCGAGUGCUGGGGCUAUUGAAGUCUCAGCAUCAGUGGAUGGAGCACCAGUGGGUUCCCAAGACCUAGACUUGAAGGACCUUGGUGGAACAGGGUGUGCUUCCUUCCGGAGGCUGUGGAGGGCUAUGGCUCUGGGAGGGAAUCCCUGGGUGGUCACGUGGACUGAAGACCCUGGAGUGGUCAGUGAUACAACUGGAAAUGAAAUGAUGGAACUGCCCAGAUCUCUUGGACAUGGAAGAGGAUGUUGCAUUUUGUGUGACCGUCCAGUCUGUCCUCUGCAGCAUCCCUCUGGGAACUUACGCAGACAUUUCAGCCUGCGAAGGCAAAGCUUCCGAAAGCCCUGCUUCCUCGGAAUGCCAUCCGUACACCUUGGUGCUAUCCUUUUGAAACUGUCUACAUUUUCACCUCCUCUGUGAUUCUGUUUUUGGAAAGAUUUUAUAACUGUAAUAAUGGGUGCUACAACAUUAAAGACUGAUGUCAACUGC